GAACGGAGGGGCUACCCACUUCCGAGCUGAAGUCCUGAAACAAGCAUCAAUUUGAAGGUCCGCUGAGAGCCCACGAUGCCAGCCAAGCCCGAACCGAGUCCUGGCCCUGCCAGCCCCAUAGAGUUCUGUGGGUGACCUAUUCUUUAUUGGGAGCAUCACCUACUGUCUGGACGCCAGCCCAUCAGGGAAGACUGAAACCCCUCAGAUCAGGAGUCCAGCCCGAGCCGGCAAGGAGUUUGUGCCUCUUUGGAGGCUGGAAUGCUGGACCCCAGUUCCAUCCUCAGGUGCCAGGACGUGGCCUGAGCAUUGUCUCCAGUCUGGUUCCAGCUUUUUCCCCAUCAUUGACCCACUGCCCAGACCUCUGCAUGGUUCCUGGCUACCGAGAUCGCUUCACAGCAACCAAAGAGUAUCUGAGCUUAGAAGAGCCUAAGGAAUCGCCCGGAUUGGAGGAGAUGCUCUAGAGUAUUCAAAAACAUAAUCGUCUUUUUCACUGGAACAAUUAUUAGGGGUGUUUCAGCACUGGGUGCUGUGGGAUAGAGAUGCUAAAUGUCCCACAGUGCACAAGGCAAUCUGCACAGUGACAAUGGCACCCCUUCCUUCGCUGGAUAAACAGUGCUUCUAGUCCAAAGUG